rnacentral:rRNA from 1 species
CCUACGGGUGGCAGCAGUGGGGAAUAUUGCACAAUGGGGGAAACCCUGAUGCAGCAAUGCCGCGUGAGUGAAGAAGUAUUUCGGUAUGUAAAGCACUAUCAGCAGGGAAGAGGAUGACGGUACCUGACUAAGAAGCCCCUGCUAACUACGGGCGAGCAGCCGCGGUAAUACGUAGGGGGCAAGCGUUAUGCGGAUUUACUGGGUGUAAAGUGAGCGUAGACGGCUGUACAAAUCUGAAGUGAAAGCCCGUGGCUCAACCGCGGAACUGCUUUGGAAACUGUAAGGCUGGAGUACUGGAGAGGCGGGCAGAAGUCCUAGUGUAGCGGUGAAAUGCGUAGAGAUUAGGAGGAAUACCAGUGGCGAAGGCGGCCUGCUGGACAGAGACUGACGUUGAGGCGCGAAAGCGUGGGGAGCAAACAGGAUUAGAUACCCUUGUAGUC